rnacentral:rRNA from 1 species
GAUGAACGCUGGCGGCGUGCCUAAUACAUGCAAGUCGAGCGAACGGACGAGAAGCUUGCUUCUCUGAUGUUAGCGGCGGACGGGUGAGUAACACGUGGAUAACCUACCUAUAAGACUGGGAUAACUUCGGGAAACCGGAGCUAAUACCGGAUAAUAUUUUGAACCGCAUGGUUCAAAAGUGAAAGACGGUCUUGCUGUCACUUAUAGAUGGAUCCGCGCUGCAUUAGCUAGUUGGUAAGGUAACGGCUUACCAAGGCAACGAUGCAUAGCCGACCUGAGAGGGUGAUCGGCCACACUGGAACUGAGACACGGUCCAGACUCCUAAGGGAGGCAGCAGUAGGGAAUCUUCCGCAAUAGGCGAAAGCCUGACGGAGCAACGCCGCGUGAGUGAUGAAGGUCUUCGGAUCGUAAAACUCUGUUAUGAGGGAAGAACAUAUGUGUAAGUAACUGUGCACAUCUUGACGGUACCUAAUCAGAAAGCCACGGCUAACUACGUG